GUGGGGAAUAUUGGACAAUGGGCGAAAGCCUGAUCCAGCCAUGCCGCGUGUGUGAAGAAGGUCUUCGGAUUGUAAAGCACUUUAAGUUGGGAGGAAGGGCAGUAAGUUAAUACCUUGCUGUUUUGACGUUACCGACAGAAUAAGCACCGGCUAACUUCGUGCCAGCAGCCGCGGUAAUACGAAGGGUGCAAGCGUUAAUCGGAAUUACUGGGCGUAAAGGGCGCGUAGGUGGGUUUGUAAGUUGGAGGUGAAAUCCCCGGGCUCAACCUGGGAACUGCCUCCAAAACUGCAUGACUAGAGUACGGUAGAGGGUAGUGUAAUUUCCUGUGUAGCGGUGAAAUGCGUAGAUAUAGGAAGGAACACCAGUGGCGAAGGCGACUACCUGGACUGAUACUGACACUGAGGUGCGAAAGCGUGGGGAGCAAACAGGAUUAGAAACCCUGGUAGUCCG
rnacentral:rRNA from 1 species